GAUGAACGCUGGCGGCGUGCCUAAUACAUGCAAGUCGAGCGAACAGAUGAGGAGCUUGCUCCUCUGACGUUAGCGGCGGACGGGUGAGUAACACGUGGAUAACCUACCUAUAAGACUGGGAUAACUUCGGGAAACCGGAGCUAAUACCGGAUAAUAUAUUGAACCGCAUGGUUCAAUAGUGAAAGACGGUUUUGCUGUCACUUAUAGAUGGAUCCGCGCCGCAUUAGCUAGUUGGUAAGGUAACGGCUUACCAAGGCAACGAUGCGUAGCCGACCUGAGAGGGUGAUCGGCCACACUGGAACUGAGACACGGUCCAGACUCCUACGGGAGGCAGCAGUAGGGAAUCUUCCGCAAUGGGCGAAAGCCUGACGGAGCAACGCCGCGUGAGUGAUGAAGGUCUUCGGAUCGUAAAACUCUGUUAUUAGGGAAGAACAAAUGUGUAAGUAACUACGCACGUCUUGACGGUACCUAAUCAGAAAGCCACGGCUAACUACGUG
rnacentral:rRNA from 1 species